rnacentral:rRNA from 1 species
UGAGGAAUAUUGCACAAUGGGCGAAAGCCUGAUGCAGCAACGCCGCGUGAGUGAUGAAGGCCUUUGGGUCGUAAAACUCUGUCCUUGGGGAAGAAAAAAGUGACGGUACCCUUGGAGGAAGCCCCGGAUAACUACGUGCCAGCAGCCGCGGUAAUACGUAGGGGGCAAGCGUUAUCCGGAAUUAUUGGGCGGAAAGAGUUCGUAGGUGGUGUUGUAAGCGUAGGGUGAAAGGCAGUAGCUCAACUAUUGUUAGCCCUGCGAACUGUGAGACUUGAGUGCAGGAGAGGAAAGUGGAAUUCCUAGUGUAGCGGUGAAAUGCGUAGAUAUUAGGAGGAACACCAGUGGCGAAGGCGACUUUCUGGACUGUAACUGACACUGAGGCACGAAAGCGUGGGUAGCAAACA